rnacentral:lncRNA from 10 species
AGCAGAAAGUUAAUCCCUAAAACAAUGGGGAAAAUAUCUCUAGGGCAUGUCAGAGGUCUUCACGGCAGCCCCUUCUGUCACAGGCCCAGAGGCCUAGGAGAAAAUGGCUUCAUGGGCUGGGCCCAGGAUCCCCGUGUGCUGUGUGCAGCCUAGGGACUUGUUGCCCUGGGUCCCAGCCACUCCAGCCAUGACUGAAAGGGGCCGAUGUAGAGCUUGGGCCAUGGCUUCAGAGGGUGGAAGCCUCUAUCCUUGGCAGCUUCCAUGUGAUGUUGAGCCUAUGAGUGCACAGAAUUCAAGAAUUGGGGUUUGGGAACCUCUGCCUAGAUUUCAGAAGAUGUAUGGAAAUGCCUGGAUGCCCAGGCAGAAGUUUGCUACAAGGGCAAGGUGCUCAUGGAGAACCUCUGCUACAGCAGUGGGGGAAGGCCCCACUGGAUUUUUGACUUGCAUGGGCCCUGUAACCCCUUUGUUUUAGCCAUCACCUUGUCUAGAUUACCUUCCACAUACAUAUACCUUGCAGGAAACCCCUGUCCUGAAUGAUUAACCAUUCCCUUAGUUUCUUUAUAGUCU